AAAUAUUUGACUUAUUUUGAUCACCGGAGCCUCUAGUGUGAUUAGCUUGACCGAUGCCAAAAUCUUCUAUAAAGUAGAGCCACCUCCUUUUAGUACCACGCCCAAUUAUCUCCUUGGUGAGAAUAUCCUGAAGAAGGCAAAAAGUGGGAUAAAUCAGAACAACACAAUUUAACUCCUUCGUGAUUUGGCUUACUGACAAUAAUUUAUGAGAAAAUGAGGGCACAAAAAGAGUAUUAGUUAAGGAGAGGGUUGGUGAAAUCAUCACUGUACCAACCCCAUUUACCAAAGAUACGUCCCCAUUAGCAUUAACAAUACUAAUACGUUGAGGAGAGGAUCGUUCAGAAAAGUCACUUGCAUCAUACAUCAUGUGGUCAGUUGCUCCUGAAUCAAGGAUCAAACUAUCAUAAGAUUUAGAUGUAUUGGUCUCGAGAAAACUCAUACUUGUAUCCAAGUCAGUUGUUGCCGUAGGAACAAGUGACAAUUUAGACUGAGUAGAGGCUGUUGCUGCCUUGCCCAUGCUGUUUGCUGCACUUUUGCUUGUUCCACCAUCAUUCCUGCUACCAUCUCGUCGUCUCUUGCCUUGUAAUUCAUGCCACCAAUCCGGGUAGCCAUGCAAUUUGAAGCAUGUGUCUCGGUUAUGUUUCAAACUUCGACAAUGAGAACAUUUAGUUCCAUUAGAUGGGACUAUUGAUUUAGGGGCUGAAUUGAGUUUUCCGUUCAAUGACAAAGAGUUGGCUGGAGUGAAGAGCCCUUGUUUCAGGCUUCGUGAUGCCAACAGCGCCCCAGCCAUGUCUUCUCCAUCAUUGGUUGUCAUUACUAAUUGUCGAACAGCUUCUCUCCGAACAUGGGCAUACGCCUGCUCUAAUGUGGGAAAGGGCUGAAGUUGUAAAACAUCACUUCUAAUAUUAUCCAAUUUAUCAUCCAAACCCUCAAGAAAAGUAUAUACCCGAUCCUUCUGCAGCAUAUUGUUAUAGUGUUUAAUAUCUUCUGGACAUUUCAUUGGGUUGGGACGACGAAAAUCAAUCUCACGCCAUAAGCCUUGGCGAUCAUUGUAAUACUUUUCCAAUCUCCCGCUCCCUUGCCUAAGCCGUGCCACUCACCGUCGGAGUUCGUAAACCUGGGAUGCAUCACUUCCAUCAAAGUAAGUGGUUCCAAUUGCAUCCCAAACCUGCUUUGUUGUUAGAAAUCGGAUGAAGUUGCCAAUAAGGGAUGAGUCCAUUGAACCAAUCAGCCAUCCCUUUACAUUUGAAUUUUUAGUCUGCCACUUACGAAAUGAAGGGUCGAUUGUUGGUGGCUGAGGAAGGUCUCCAUUGAGGUAUCCAAGCUUAUCUUUGCCUGCUACGUACAUCUCUACGACCUGUGACCAGAGGGCGUAAUUCGUGUUGUCCAGCUUGAUACCGAUCGGUGCAGCCAUUAAGUCAGCGGCUGAAGUAGGUGCCGAAGCUUUGCUCAAAACUUCUGUUAUCUUUGCUGUCAAUUCAGAUAUCAUAGAAGAAGAGUUUAUAUGAUGAGAUUCCAGGGGGUUAGAUUCACCAGAGUUCUCAUCAAAGUGAGGAUCCAUGUCUGCCAUGGAAGGGGUUGGGUUCUAUUUUUCACGGAUUCGGGUAGGGGAUCAGAUCUGGCUCUGAUACCAUGAAGGAUUUAAUGUUCCAAUAUGUUUUCUUUUAUUAUAGAACUCCAAUAUAUAUAGAUACAAAUCUUGGCUAUACAUAGAAUAUAAAAAAUUAUUGCUAUAAUUUCUAAUCUAUCAAAGGAAUCAGUAAUUAAGGGAUUGUGGUGCAUAAUAUCCUUCCCUAAUAGCCCAGAUUUUCUCCCUUAAUUGCUCAACUCACGUCAACAAAAGCCAAUAUUCAAAGCUUGGCAAAAAAAAUAAAUAUAUAAAUAACAUAAAAUAAAAAAUGUGCUAUAAAUCAAGAAGCGUGGCUCAAUACAAAGAAUUUGCAUGUACAAGAUCCAUUUAAUGUAGAACUUCAUGAAAUUGCUUCAACAGCUAACCUGGAAGACAAGAAGCUUAUUAAGGUCCACGGUAAAGAGCCUUGUGCAACCAUCAUGGUUCCUCAAAAUGUAACUACUGCAGAGGAAAAGAGAAUUUAAAGACUUAGGCAGGUAAAAAUCAAAAUGUCAAGAAAAGGCUUGGUCAGAAAAAAGAAAAGGACAGACACAAAGUACAAGAAAAAUGCCAUAAAAAUUAGAUCCAUGAACUUCAUUAUUUUUUGUUUCUGAACUUGUUCCUCAUGAACGAAUAUGCUCGUCAAUUUUAUAUUCUCAGUCCUGCAAAUAGUAUAAAUUCAUUUUGUCUGGUAAAUUGUCUAAAUUGCAACCAUUUAUUCAAUACCAAUCCAGUUGUCUACAGCAAAAGAUUCCCAAUACAUAAUUGAAGAUAGCAGAUUCUGUGAAAAUGCACUUUAACUACAAGUGAUCAAGAAAUGAAUUUGCAUAUCGUAAGGGGGGAAAGGCCCACAGGAAGUUAAGUUUAACGCACACACAACAUAAGAAUCAUUUCAAUUUAUUUUGCAGUUCAUAAUCGAAGGGAACAAAAGGAUUAACAUCAUGAAUACCAACACCAGUUCUCCAAAAAUAUAUAUAUAUAUAUAUAUAGAUUUUACUAACCACUUGUGCAAACAAAUUUAUUUAUAUAUAUAUAUAUAUGCCACUUGUGAUUUCAUUGAGGGUUGGGUUGGUUGAUUUAUGAGUCCACUUUGUCAUUGUAAUUUGCUAAGGCACUUUCUAAAGUGUGGCUAAGUACUUAUUGAGCUAUCUGGUUAAUAUGUUCUACAUAUCAAAGGUACUCAGAUUUUAUAUAUAUAUAUAUAUAUAUAUAUAUAUAUAUAUAUAUAUAUAUAUAUAUAUAUAUAUAUAUAUAUAUAUAUAUAUAUAUAUAUAUAUAAAAUCUGAGUACCUUUGAUAUGUAGAACAUAUUAACCAGAUAGCUCAAUAAGUACUUAGCCACACUUUAGAAAGUGCCUUAGCAAAUUACAAUGACAAAGUGGACUCAUAAAUCAACCAACCCAACCCUCAAUGAAAUCACAAGUGGCAACUUUAUUCAAGAAAAUACACAUCAAGUAAUCUAUAACUCAAUAUAUUCACUAAAUCACAAAAAAACUAAGUCAUAAUUUUUCUUCAUCAAGAACCCAAUUUUUGUUCAAAAUUUGAAUAUUUCUUUAUCAGGAAUUAAGAACCCAUGAAAUUCCCAGCUUCUAAUCUAAUAUAUACAACAAUGUACUUUUGCAUUGCCCCCAUCAAAUGACAAAUCUAGAAAGCAAAAACCAACAAAAUUUCUGCAAAAAAAGAUAAAAAAUAAAAAUGCAUAGAUCUAGUACGUAAUAUGAAAUAUAAGAAAAUUCCCAACAAUAAAAUUAAAGAAAAUAAAAACACUAACCCUGUAUAAUGCAGGUCCAAUCUUUCAAUUUAAGCUAAGAGGUUCUCACUCUAAGUAACAACCGCUGCAAACAAAAUGCGCCACCACUACGUAGAGUUUAUGGUCAGCCGAAUUUUGGGUGGACUAACAAAGUGCAAUUGCCUUCUCUGAAUAAAGAGAACUACAAUCGCCUUCUCUGCAAUCACCUUCCUUGAUGGAGUUUUGCAAAAAAAUCUAGAAGAUUUUCUUCUCCAAUUGCCAUCAGUCUUUGUCUUUCCUUCGUAUGCCGUUUGUAUUUCUUUUUGUUUCGGAC
rnacentral:lncRNA from 1 species